CUGCUGCCUUCCGUAGGAGUCUGGUCCGCGUCUCAGUACCAGUGUGGGGGGCCUUCCUCUCAGAACCCCUACGCAUCGUCGGCACGGUGGGCCGUUACCCCGCCGUCUACCUAAUGCGACGCAUGUCCAUCCUAUGCCGGACCUCUCCUUUAACCUCCCGGGAAUGCUCCCAAAAGGUGUUACGCGGUAUUAGGCCGGAUUUCUCCGGGUUAUCCCCCUGCAUAGGGCAGGUUACAUACGUGUUACUCACCCGUGCGCCGGUCGCCGGCAGGCA
rnacentral:rRNA from 1 species